UACAAACUAGUCUGUGCUAUUAUGUGCAUAUGGGCUUAAUGUGUGUGUAGUAUGUGUAAUGAGUGUGGUGUCUGUUAGGGGCAGCAUACAGACCCACUUCAAUCAGAGGAGGCCUGACACAAGGAUAUGGAACACUCGGCUAUGGAGGAGCUGCAAACCUUGGAACUGGCCUUGGGGCUGCCGGGCUGAGACUCGGCACAGGGUAUGGCCUAGGCAACGGGCUGGGAGCAGCCUUAGGUUAUCCAGCAGGGAAGCUUGGAGGGAGAGGUUACACCAGCAAUGGCUAUGGAGCACAGCUAGGUUACGGCGCAGGAGGAUAUCCCGGUGCUGGUCGUGGUAUGUAAACUCUCCUUGUUGAAGCAUUAGGAAAAUGUGUGUGUUUAAACUCAGGGGUCUGAACAAGGUUUUGUUGUUUACUUAGGUUGUUAUAGCAACCACAACUGACCAGCUUUAUCCACUUUAUUCCAGGAAGCAGCUGUCCCCAUAAUAUUUUCUUUAUUUCAGAUUUUUGCAGUAUUGAGUAUUCUAUUGAUAAAGUGAAAAUUUGUCACCAGAUGCAAGAUAAAAUAAUAAUAAUAAUAAUUUCAGCGCUGAUAAAGCAGUAUUUAGGUGCUCUUUGUGCACCAAAUUUGUGUUCAUUUAAAUCUUUGUGGAAUUUCUGUGGAAAGUAUUUUUGGAAGUGCUUUAUUAUUCUGCUAUUUUAGCGUAUAUAUAUAUAUAUAUAUAUAAAA
ensembl:lncRNA